rnacentral:lncRNA from 1 species
AAAAUAUAACAAUAAACAUAUUUUUACAAAAAAAACUCUUGCCCUUCCCCAUUCCUCUAAAAUAUAAUUUUCUCACUUCUUUUGCCUUAAUUUUUUUCUUUUUACAACAGCCCGAAUCUAUACAAAAAAAAAAUCCACUAAUAUAGGAAAAAAAAAAUCAGCCUCUUUGACAUAAUGUCAAACACGUAGACAGCAUCAAGAAAAAAAAAUGAAAAAAAAGUUCAACCAUUGCUAACCAAUAGCAAAGCUCCACGUGGCGUUAAGCAUCACCCCUUAAACAGUUUCAAUAAGGAUCGCUCCUUAUUAUUUAAUCACAUUAUGAUUUAUUUU